UCCCCGUUGCCGGGGCAGUCUAUUCAGAAAAAUCCAACUGAAUAUAAGGGUUGCGCUCGUUGAUGGACUUAACCAAACAUCUCACGACACGAGCUGACGACGGCCAUGCAACACCUGUCACCGAAUUCCUUUCGGCACAAUCUCCUUUCAGAGACCUUCUCGGGAUGUCAAACCCUGGUAAGGUUCUUCGCUUACCUUCGAAUUAAAGAACACGCUCCACCGCUUGUGCGGGUCCCCGUCAAUUCCUUUAUGUUUUAGUCUUGCGACCGUACUCCACAGGCGGGAUGCUUAACGCGUUAGCUUCGCUACUAGAAGGGUCGAUACUUCUAACAGCUAGCAUCCAUAGUUUACGGCGUGGACUAC
rnacentral:misc_RNA from 1 species